AAUGAACGCUGGCGGCGUGCUUAACACAUGCAAGUCGCACGAGAACGCUUCAGCUUGCUGAGGCUAGUAAAGUGGCGCACGGGUGAGUAACGCGUGGGUAAUCUACCUCCGAAUUGGGGAUAACACUGCGAAAGCGGUGCUAAUACCGGAUACGAUCCCACGAUGGUGGUUGUGGGAUGAAAGUCAGCCACUCGAAGAAGCUGACGUACGAGGAUGGGCCUGCGUCCUAUCAGCUAGUUGGUGGGGUAGCGGCCUACCAAGGCGACGACGGGUAGCUGGUCUGAGAGGAUGAUCAGCCACACUGGCACUGGAACACGGGCCAGACUCCUACGGGAGGCUG
rnacentral:rRNA from 1 species